ACGAGCGCACCCUUAUCCCUAGUUGCCAGCACAUCAUGGCUGGGAACUCUAGGGAGACUGCCGGUGACAAACCGGAGGAAGGUGGGGAUGACGUCAGGUCAUCAUGGCCCUUACGGCCAGGGCUACACACGUGCUACAAUGGCGCGCACAGAGGGCUGCAAACCCGCGAGGGGGAGCUAAUCUCACAAAACGCGUCGUAGUCCGGAUCGCAGUCUGCAACUCGACUGCGUGAAGUCGGAAUCGCUAGUAAUCGCGAAUCAGAAUGUCGCGGUGAAUACGUUCCCGGGCCUUGUACACACCGCCCGUCACACCAUGGGAGUGGAUUGCACCAGAAGUGGUUAGUCUAACCUUCGGGAGGACGAUCACCACGGUGUGGUUCAUGACUGGGGUGAAGUCGUAACAAGGUAGCCGUAGGGGAACCUGCGGCUGGAUCACCUCCUU
rnacentral:rRNA from 1 species